GUCAGGAGGCUGCUCAUGUGGGGGCAAGGGAACUUGGAGAAUCUCUGUGCCUUCCCCCCAGUUUUGCUGCAAACCUACAACUACUCUGAAAAGAUUGAAGCCUAUUUAAAAGGGGGAAAAGGAUUGAUAGAAGCUUUUAAAGCUAAGCAACACUGCUUUUGGCCUGAGACCCAGGUGGCAGCAGCACGGAGACCACACUCUCUGAGGAGGACAGACAGAAGGACAGCCGGUGAAAGACGAGGACGGUGGUACAGCCUCGGAAGCCAGCAUGCAGAGAGGGCCGCGCACAAUAGAAGGGACGGAGGCACUGUUGGAAAAUGCAGCCCUGGGUGUCAGUCUCAGAAAGCCUGUUUCCGAAACAAACAACAGCUACGAAGAGGGUGGAAUGGGAAGCAGGGAACCUGCGGGGGAGAGAGGAGCCACAGGGACACCCAGGAGAGGUGGUACCUGAACACCCCACUCAUGUGCCUCAGCAGAUUUCUAAGCAUCAGACACUGUGAUAUGGAUACAAACACCAUUUACACUAUGCGGACUUUCGAGUGCACGAAGCAAGGUGUCACUCUGAUGAUGACCUGCGCAUUUCUGCUGAUGAACACAAGACGAAGGGAGUCACGUUUGGUCUUUCCUUUGGGAGUUUCGUGUUUGGGAGGUCAGCAAAUAUCUCGGACCAAUUCUCAAGUUCAUGGACACUUCUUUGGUGUUGUACAACUCCUGUUGCCGCUUUGGGUAAACUGAAAGAAGCAAGCUGGUGUUGACAUUUCAUUCAGGAGCUGUGCUGAGACCACGGAGUUUCACUUCAUACCCCCCUAACUGACCAUGAGCUGACAUGGGAAACCAACAGGGAAGCCUCUGAAGUGUCCAAACAACAUUGCUGCCCAGCUUAAUAUGUUGUCAAUUAAAAGAAUGAUCUUAAGAAUUGUUGUCCCUGGGGCUCCAUCCUUGGUCAUAGGCUCAUUCCAAGGCUGCAUCAAGGCUGUCCCCAUGCGCCCCAAGCUAGGGUACCACAGUUUCUGCCAGAGCCCCCCACCUGGAUGUCCUGCAAAUCUGCCUCUGAGGCCACUUCCUCCCAUGUCUUCACCAUGGGGGUGGCACCUCUGUCCACACGAGCUCCUGAGCUGCAGACCCUGGAGACUUGACCUCCUUCUUCUCCAUCUUCUACCCACGCAAUUCACCAAACUCUCCUUCCCAGAUUGAGUUCAUUGCCGUUCUUAGUGCAAAUGUGAAUGCUCAUCAGUGUCAGUGACCACGUGAUAUAUUUACCUGCUAAAAAUCUAUGUCUCAACCGGUCUGUGAGCAACGUGGGGGCAGAGGACACAAUUUAUUUCCCCUUUCAAUCCAUUAUCCCUAGCAGCAUCUGACAUAUGAUCUCGAUAUACAUUUGUUGGAUUAAAACUAUUGAAUGACUUGCAGAAGCAAAGUGCUAGCCAAGCAUGAGCUGCAGCAAGCGCAUGAAUGGCAGCAGUCAGGGGGAAACUAAUGGUCCCCAGACAUUUGACCGUGUACUGGGGGCAGCCCCAUCCAAUGGCUCUGAGCAUCCAGACCUCUCUCCAGCUUCAGCUGGGUACCGGCCACCUUUGGGGUUGCCUCAGGAACAUGACAGCAGAGAUGGGGGAGGUCUGUUCAAGUAUGUAUCUGUGUCCAAGCCGUCUCUUCUCCUGAGGACAGCAAAUAUCCUGGAUUAUGGCCCACCCUUGUGACCUCAUCUUAACUCAGUAUUGGGUAUUGGCUCUCCAUCACUGGAAUUUGGGGAGACAGGGACAUGGUUCAACACAAUCCAGUGUGGAGAUGUUGAGGGGCCUCAAGCCAGAAGUCUGGAAGCAGAGAGCAUUCAAGAGGAUGGCGCUCCUUUGCCUCAGCCAGAGGCGGACUGUGUCUGAGUGCUUGACCAAGGCUGGUGAGUGAUCUGUCAGGAUCCCCGUGGGGCCCUGGAGACUCACAGGCCUCAGCCCCCUACACACAGCAAACCUUACACGGGUGGCUGAUGUGUGUCCAUCAAAACACUAUUCUGAAAAUGUUGGCAAGGCAUAACCAAGGAUAGUUGAGGGGAAACUUCUCUUGGUAGAGUUCUUUCACCAAACAGAUGAAUAAGAAUAGAAGGAACAGAAUAGCAGCAUUGUGCAGCCCUGGCUGCUGGAGUCAUGGGUCCAGGCUUCAUGCAUGACGACCCCUGGCACCAGCGUCAUGUGCUCCCUGCCUCACCCUGCCUCCACCCUGCAGCUCUUGCCCAAAACCCACAUCCCCCCCCAUUGAGCCUGGUGACCUGGAUUCCGACUUCUAGGACCACACAAGAUGAAGAGUAGUAACAUGGCCAUUGCAGACGGGAUUGGUGAGCCUACACCAGGAAGCUCCGCCAGACACAGAAACUGGAUUCUCCCACGCAUGCAGAUGAGGAAAGUGGGGAGUCUCCGAAGAUUAAAGGAGGUUUAGGGAUAUCACUCCCAGGACAAGAGUGUGGCACUGCUUUGGCUCCUGAUUUAAAUCAACACGUGUAAAAUUUAAAAAAAUAAAAGCACGCAAAUGUGGUUGGACUCCACACGACGUCCAUGAGACAACUGGAAAUUUGAACACAGGUGGGUUGUUGGUGCUAUCAAGGUCUUACUGUCUAUUAACAUGAUGGUAUCACGGUCCUUAUCUUUUACAGAUACACUCUGAAGUAUUUAUGAGUAAAAAAUUAUGAUGUCUAGGAUUUGCCUCAGAAUGAUCCAGAGAAUGGGAGGCAGAUGGAGGUGCAGGACACACUGGUUGCUUUCUCCUUUUGCUGGAAUCCAUCAAGCCGAACUAUUGUUUGCAGACUGUUUAUGGAUUCGAGGACUACUUCAACAGACAUGGUGAAUAAUGAAAGUCACAGGAAAACACUCUCUGUAAAGAGAAAGAGGGAACCAGAUAUACUUGUCCCAGGCAUCCCUUCUGCACUCCUGUUUCGAGCUGCAUAGGACAGCAGCUAUGAAGUUGGUCCCACUCCUCAAGCAGCCCCUUGGACACACAGAGUCUAGGCUGGCGGGACCUGCUAUGGACGGCAGGAUGGGAGACACGGGACAGCGCUCCUUCUGACCCACGACAGGCCUGUGGGUCUGCACUCUGCUUGCGCAGUCAGCUUGAGAACGCACGCCUACUGGGGGUGAGACCCACGGAACCAUGGCCAGCCGACCCUUUACAUGGGAGAAGCCACGGCCAGGUCCCCAAGCAAGGCCAUUUAACCCUCAACCACCACUCCAGGGAGCCACCAGCGCUUGGUGCAGGUCACCGAGGUCUGCGAGCUUGCACUCGGCACCUUGUGGGCAUGGUUUACUGAGACAUUUAUCCAGAACACAGCUCCUAGACUUGCCCGUUUGAGUACACACGUUUCUUCUGAACACCUUGUCCCCUUGUUGGCCUGGACCCUGCUGCUGGGCAUUCGAUCCAACCACAUGCCAUUGGUUCCAAAAGCUCUGAAUAUUCACACAAGCAAACAAACGUACCCUUGUUGUUCUAUACAAAUCCAAUCAGGCUCUGCUUGCCGUUUGGCUCCUGGCUUCUUCCUGCUGAACUUGGCCGUCCUGGUGGCUUUUCCUGGGAGCAUGUGGAGCAUGGCCGUCGACCCCUCAGCACCCUGUGCUACCACCUAAUGCCCAGGCACGCUGGCUGACCACUUGUGCACAUCUGGUUUCUCUUUAAUUCUCUGCUACUCCCCAAAAUAAUGGCAGGAACAUCUUCGUGCACAUAUGCAAGUGUCUCUGGAGGUCCCAGUUCUGGGGAUUACCACAGAGGGUGCUGAAAUAAAAUCUGUGCUGUGACACCAAGAUGUGGGCCAUGAAGCAGUGCCAUAGCC